GAUGAACGCUAGCGGCAGGCUUAACACAUGCAAGUCGAGGGGCAGCGCGGGAUAGCAAUAUCCUGGCGGCGACCGGCGGAAGGGUGCGUAACGCGUGAGCGACAUGCCCGUUGCCCGGGGACAACCGGUGGAAACGCCGACUAAUCCCCGAUGGGAUAUUGUGCCGCAUGGCACGAUAUUGAAAGUUACGGCGGCGACGGAUUGGCUCGCGUCCGAUUAGCUUGUUGGCGGGGUAACGGCCCACCAAGGCUGCGAUCGGUAGGGGUUCUGAGAGGAAGGCCCCCCACAAUGGGACUGAGACACGGCCCAUACUCCGACGGGAGGAAGCAGUGAGGAAUAUUGGUCAAUGGGCGGAAGCCUGAACCAGCCAUGCCGCGUGCGGGAAGGAGGCCCUAUGGGCUGUGAACCGCUUUUGCCUGGGGGCAAUAAGGGCGUCGCGCACGUCCGAUGAGAGUACCAGGCGAAUAAGCAUCGGCUAACUCCGUG
rnacentral:rRNA from 1 species